GAUGGUGGGAAAGCCGGGAGGGAACGGAUGAGGGUCUCUUCCACACAGGGCUGGGUGGUACCUGGCGGUCGCCUGAAGUGGGCCAGGGGCUGGCCAUGAGCCCCUCCAUAACUGAUGGCUGCCAGGAGCAGCCCAGAGGAGCUGAAGAGAACGUGAUGGGAAGAAAGGAGCCAGGUUCAAUGACACCUGCGAAGGGGUGACGCUGGUGGAACCCACAGGACACCCAACCACCUGUCACCCCAGGCUCUGAGCCACCACCCUCCUCUGCCUUUCUUGAGGGAUGCUGGUGCUUGUGACUUGUCCAGCAGGGAGGUGGGGGUCUGACUGCCCCUCUCUGACCCUGACUCUUAGAUGCCAGGUCCAGGGAGCUAUGCUUCACAGAUGCUGCAUUCUCUGCGUCCGGAGGAGGAGAUGAUGGGACGGGGAAUCUUCUCGCUGUCGCCUACCCCGUAAAGUGUAACCAGUCUCUUCCUUGCACCUGAUCAAGACAUGUAACAUCCAACUUGUGCAAGGCAUAAAUGUCCUCAGAGGAAACCAUAAGUUACCCAAAAGAAUAUAAAACGUCAGAACCAGAAGGUAUUAUGGAUUACAAGGUCACCGUGAUUCACAGACGGGCCAGCCUUGAGGCCCCUCGUGGUGCUCCUGUCUGCCUGGUGCCUGUGACUGUGGCAGGAGGUGCCACUUACGGCUUAGAAGUGCAGCCCCGGCCCGCGGUCACCCCACAGACCGGAACUGUCUCCCUGGCGCGGGAACAGUGUACUUAGAAGCCAUCUCCAUCCGCCCUUGGCUCUGGCAGGGAAUGACAUAGGAAUUAAUCAGCUGCGGUGAAUCAGAUUAGUUGAAGAACUAGGAUUCUGGCACCCUACCUUCAAGACAGCAAAGUAUAUUGAUGACAGUGGAACCUGAAAAGGCUUCAAGGUUUUUACAAUUACAUUCUAUUAUGUGUGUUAGUGAUUUUGCUCAAUAUCUGUCAUUGUUGUUUUCAAAAUCAAAUACACAUCAUUU
rnacentral:lncRNA from 1 species